rnacentral:rRNA from 1 species
UGCACAACGCCUGCGGCAUCCUACCAUGCAUGUUGAGCGAGAACUGAGAAGCUUGCUUCUCGGGGGAAAGCAGCGCACGGGUAACGCGUUGGUAACGUACCCCUAGUGGUUGAGUGAUAACCCACCGAAAGGUGGGCUAAUACUGAAUGUGUUCCACAAGAGGUGCGCCUCAUUGGAAGAAAGCGGGGCAACCCGCGCCCAAUGAUCGGCCCGCGUUCCAUCAGCUUGUUGGUGGGGUAACGGCCUACCAAGGCUACGACGGAUAGCUGGUCUGAGAGGAUGAUCAGCCACACUGGGACUGAGACACGGCCCAGACUCCUACGGGAGGCAGCAGUGGGGAAUAUUGGUCAAUGGGCGAAAGCCUGAACCAGCAAUGCCGCGUGAGUGAUGAAGGCCCUCGGGUUGUAAAGCUCUGUCAGUGGGAACGAAUAAGCCGAUUAAUACUCGGUGGUGACGGUACCCACAAAGGAAGCACCGGCUAACUCUGUGCCAGCAGCCGCGGUAAUACAGAGGGUGCAAGCGUAGUACGGAAUUACUGGGCGUAAAGCGCGUGUAGGCGGUCUCGCAAGUCGGGUGUGAAAGCCU